GACGGAGGGGGCAAGCGUUGUCCGGACUUACUGGGCGUAAAGCGCACGUAGGCGGCCCGAUGCGUCGGUGCUGAAAGCGCCAGGCUUAACCUGGCGAGGCGUGCCGAUACGAUCGGGCUCGAGGCAUGCAGAGGGUGGCGGAAUUCCGGGUGUAGUGGUGAAAUGCGUAGAGAUCCGGAGGAACGCCUGUGGCGCAAGCGGCCACCUGGGCCUGACCUGACGCUGAGGUGCGAAAGCGUGGGGAGCGAACCGG
rnacentral:rRNA from 1 species